UGGGGAAUAUUGGACAAUGGGCGAAAGCCUGAUCCAGCCAUGCCGCAUGAGUGAAGAAGGCCUUUGGGUUGUAAAGCUCUUUUAGUGAGGAAGAUAAUGACGGUACUCACAGAAGAAGUCCUGGUUAACUCCGAGCCAGCAGCCGCGGUAAUACGGAGAGGGCUAGCGUUAUUCGGAAUUAUUGGGCGUAAAGGGCGCGUAGGCUGGUUAAUAAGUUAAAAGUGAAAUCCCGAGGCUUAACCUUGGAAUUGCUUUUAAAACUAUUAAUCUAGAGAUUGAAAGAGGAUAGAGGAAUUCCUGAUGUAGAGGUAAAAUUCGUAAAUAUUAGGAGGAACACCAGUGGCGAAGGCGUCUAUCUGGUUCAAAUCUGACGCUGAAGCGCGAAGGCGUGGGGAGCAAACA
rnacentral:rRNA from 1 species